rnacentral:rRNA from 3 species
UCGCUAGUAAUCGUGGAUCAGAAUGCCACGGUGAAUACGUUCCCGGGCCUUGUACACACCGCCCGUCACACCAUGGGAGUGGGUUGCAAAAGAAGUAGGUAGCUUAACCUUCGGGAGGGCGCUUACCACUUUGUGAUUCAUGACUGGGGUGAAGUCGUAACAAGGUAACCGUAGGGGAACCUGCGGUUGGAUCACCUCCUUACCUUAAAGAAGC